rnacentral:rRNA from 1 species
UACGUAGGGGGCAAGCGUUAUCCGGAUUUACUGGGUGUAAAGGGGGCGCAGACGGCGAUGCAAGCCAGGAGUGAAAGCCCGGGGCCCAACCCCGGGACUGCUCUUGGAACUGCGUGGCUGGAGUGCAGGAGGGGCAGGCAGAAUUCCUGGUGUAGCGGUGAAAUGCGUAGAUAUCAGGAGGAACACCGGUGGCGAAGGCGGCCUGCUGGACUGCAACUGACGUUGAGGCCCGAAAGCGUGGGGAGCAAACAGG